AAGUCGUAACAAGGUUUCCGUAGGUGAACCUGCGGAAGGAUCAUUGAUGAAAACGGCCUCGGGACGGCCUUAAACCCGACACACCCACACCUGUGAACCUGGCGUCCCUCGGGGCGCAUAUUACACCGUAGUGUCAGUCAUGAACGUGAAUCAUAAUGAAAACACAA
rnacentral:misc_RNA from 1 species